rnacentral:rRNA from 1 species
GACGAACGCUGGCGGCGUGCUUAACACAUGCAAGUCGAACGGAAAGGCCCUGCUUUUGUGGGGUGCUCGAUUGGCGAACGGGUGAGUAACACGUGAGUAACCUGCCCUUGACUUUGGGAUAACUUCAGGAAACUGGGGCUAAUACCGGAUAGGAGCUCCUGCUGCAUGGUGGGGGUUGGAAAGUUUCGGCUGUUGGGGAUGGACUCGCGGCUUAUCAGCUUGUUGGUGGGGUAGUGGCUUACCAAGGCUUUGACGGGUAGCCGGCCUGAGAGGGUGACCGGCCACAUGGGGACUGAGAUACGGACCAGACUCCUACGGGAGGCAGUAGUGGGGAAUAUUGCACAAUGGGCGGACGCCUGAUGCAGCAACGCCGCGUGCGGGAUGACGGCCUUCGGGUUGUAAACCGCUUUCGCCUGUGACGAAGCGUGAGUGACGGUAAUGGGUAAAGAAGCACCGGCUAACUACGUG